rnacentral:rRNA from 1 species
CCCCGUAAACGUUGGGAACUAGUUGUGGGGUCCAUUCCACGGAUUCCGUGACGCAGCUAACGCAUUAAGUUCCCCGCCUGGGGAGUACGGCCGCAAGGCUAAAACUCAAAGGAAUUGACGGGGACCCGCACAAGCGGCGGAGCAUGCGGAUUAAUUCGAUGCAACGCGAAGAACCUUACCAAGGCUUGACAUAUACGAGAACGGGCCAGAAAUGGUCAACUCUUUGGACACUCGUAAACAGGUGGUGCAUGGUUGUCGUCAGCUCGUGUCGUGAGAUGUUGGGUUAAGUCCCGCAACGAGCGCAACCCUCGUUCUAUGUUGCCAGCACGUAAUGGUGGGAACUCAUGGGAUACUGCCGGGGUCAACUCGGAGGAAGGUGGGGAUGACGUCAAAUCAUCAUGCCCCUUAUGUCUUGGGCUUCACGCAUGCUACAAUGGCCGGUACAAAGGGCUGCAAUACCGUGAGGUGGAGCGAAUCCCAAAAAGCCGGUCCCAGUUCGGAUUGAGGUCUGCAACUCGACCUCAUGAAGUCGGAGUCGCUAGUAAUCGCAGAUCAGCAACGCUGCGGUGAAUACGUUCCCGGGUCUUGUACACACCGCCCGUCAAGUCAUGAAAGUCGGU